AAAUAAAGUGUUCCCGUCAGAUGAUCCCCAGUAUGCUGAGUUGUGUUUCUCUGGGAGCAGCCAAGGUGAAGUUUUCAACCAGGCCGACCAACUUCAGAGUCCACUGGCUUCAAAACAGUGCUUUACAUCCUCCUUCCAACAUUAUUCACAAGCCGAUCAAGACUGAGAGAGUCACAAGUGUGUGAAACCUGUAUUCUUUCUGACUUCAUUUUCCCUGGUCGAAAUUUUUGUAGAAUAGACAAAUCAAGAAUGAUGACUUCUUAAGAUGCAGUAUUCAAGUUCAGAAAUCUAUACUCAGAUGACCUUAUGUAGGUCAUCUGCUUCUGAGGUUUAUCUCACCAGU
rnacentral:lncRNA from 10 species